AUGUAUUUACAUACCUAUAUAUACAUACAUAUAUCACUGAAGUUAAUUUCAUGACGUGUGGUAAGCUCGUUUGCGAGUCAAUCAAAGAUCUGAAACUUAUUAUUAAUAUAUAUACGUCAGAGUCGAAGAAUCGGCCCUCUUACGUAAGAUCAUUAAAUAGGCAAUACAAUAAUCCGUA